rnacentral:rRNA from 1 species
UCCUACGGGAGGCAGCAGUNNCGNAUUUUGGACAANNGGCGCAAGCAUGAUCCAGCCAUGCCGCGUGCAGGAUGAAGGCCUUCGGGUUGUAAACUGCUUUUGUACGGAACGAAACGGUGCNUUCUAAUAAAGGGCGCUCAUGACCGUACCGUAAGAAUAAGCACCGGCUAACUACGUGCCAGCAGCCGCGGUAAUACGUAGGGUGCAAGCGUUAAUCGGAAUUACUGGGCGUAAAGCGUGCGCAGGCGGUUUUGUAAGACAGAGGUGAAAUCCCCGGGCUCAACCUGGGAACUGCCUUUGUGACUGCAAGGCUGGAGUGCGGCAGAGGGGGAUGGAAUUCCGCGUGUAGCAGUGAAAUGCGUAGAUAUGCGGAGGAACACCGAUGGCGAAGGCACUCCGCUGGACCUGCACUGNCGCUCAUGCACGAAANCGUGGGGNNNNNANAGGAUUAGAUACCCUGGUAGA